AUUCUGGUUGAUCCUGCCGGAGACACCGCUAUCAGGUUACGACUAAGCCAUGCGAGCGCGAGUGCAAGACUCGCCGCACUGCUGAGUAACACGUAGUUAACCUGCCCUGAGGUGGGGGAUAAUCUCGCGAAAGUGAGGCUAAUACCCCAUAGUUUUGGAUACUGGAAUGUUCCAAAGAUGAAACCCACGGGGCCUCAGAUGGGACUGCGGGUAUCAGCAGUUGUCAGGGUAAACACCUGACAAACCGAUAACGCGUAGGGGCUAUGAGAGUAGGAGCCUCCAGAUGCCCUCUGAGACAUGAGGGCAGGGCCCUACCCGGNCGCCGGNNUUCAGGC
rnacentral:rRNA from 1 species